rnacentral:rRNA from 1 species
GGUGAGUAACACGUGGGCAACCUGCCUAUAAGAUCGGGAUAACUCCGGGAAACCGGGGCUAAUACCGGAUAAUACUUUUUCUCGCAUGGAGAGAAGUUGAAAGAUGGCUUCGGCUAUCGCUUACAGAUGGGCCCGCGGCGCAUUAGCUAGUUGGUAGGGUAAAGGCCUACCAAGGCGACGAUGCGUAGCCGACCUGAGAGGGUGAUCGGCCACACUGGGACUGAGACACGGCCCAGACUCCUACGGGAGGCAGCAGUAGGGAAUCUUCCGCAAUGGACGAAAGUCUGACGGAGCAACGCCGCGUGAGCGAGGAAGGUCUUCGGAUCGUAAAGCUCUGUUGUUAGAGAAGAACAAGUGUCAUAGGAAAUGAUGGCACCAUGACGGUACCUAACCAGAAAGCCCCGGCUAACUACGUGCCAGCAGCCGCGGUAAUACGUAGGGGGCAAGCGUUGUCCGGAAUUAUUGGGCGUAAAGCGCGCGCAGGCGGCUUCUUAAGUCUGAUGUGAAAGCCCGCGGCUCAACCGCGGAGGGUCAUUGGAAACUGGGGAGCUUGAGUGCAGAAGAGGAGAGUGGAAUUCCACGUGUAGCGGUGAAAUGCGUAGAGAUGUGGAGGAACACCAGUGGCGAAAGCGGCUCUCUGGUCUGUCACUGACGCUGAGGCGCGAAAGCGUGGGGAGCAAACAGGAUUAGAUACCCUGGUAGUCCACGCC